rnacentral:rRNA from 1 species
UACGGAGGGGGCUAGCGUUGUUCGGAAUUACUGGGCGUAAAGCGCGCGUAGGCGGACCUGCAAGUCGGGGGUGAAAGCCCGAGGCUCAACCUCAGAAUUGCCUCCGAUACUGGCAGUCUCGAGUGCGGGAGAGGUGAGUGGAAUUCCCAGUGUAGAGGUGAAAUUCGUAGAUAUUGGGAAGAACACCAGUGGCGAAGGCGGCUCACUGGCCCGUAACUGACGCUGAGGUGCGAAAGCGUGGGGAGCAAACAGG